GUAAAGCUACAUACGAAUAUUAUAUUUGGUUAAUUAAUAAAAAUUAUAUAGUUUUAUUUUUGUAGUAGUUAGGACUAUGAGUAUAAAGAAAUUUAAUAAUGGUUACUAAGUCGUUAGAAGAGACUAAAUCACAGUGCCAGCAGUCGCGGUUAAACUGUUUACUUCUCGUUUUAUUUGUAGGUUUAAAGAAUUAUUAAAUAAGCUAGAAAGUGUGUUAGUAAAAUAGGCUUUUGUCGGAAAAGAGUUUAAUAAUUUUUUUAGAGAGUCUAAGAAAAAUGGGGAUUGGAGACCCCUUUAUUGGACUUCGAAAUUUUAGUCCACAGUUAGAAACUGAAAGGGUUUGGCGGUAAACUAGAUUCGUCCGGGGGAAUGUGCAUAUUAAAGAGAUGAUCCGCUAAUUAUUUUACUAUAAUGAUUUCAGUUAGUGUAUAUCCGUUUGUAGAUUUACGUCGAGAGACAUUAAGUGAGUAGUAAUUAAAUAAUUUAAGACAGGUCUAUAUGCUGCUAAUAUUAUAGGUGGUUGUGCGUUACAAUAAUAAGUUAAGUGGAUGAAAUUCGCUUAAAAAUUUAGGACUCGGAAGUAGGAGUAAAAU
rnacentral:rRNA from 1 species